rnacentral:tRNA from 1 species
UAGUUAUUUAGUUUAAUUAAAAUAUUUAUUUUGAAAAUAAGAGAUUAGGAUACCCUGUUAACUAA